rnacentral:rRNA from 1 species
UACAGAGGGUGCAAGCGUUAAUCGGAAUUACUGGGCGUAAAGCGCAUGUAGGUGGUUUGGCAAGUUGGAUGUGAAAGCCCUGGGCUUAACCUGGGAACUGCAUUCGAAACUACCAAGCUAGAGUAGAGUAGAGGGAAGUGGAAUUUCCGGUGUAGCGGUGAAAUGCGUAGAUAUCGGAAGGAACACCAGUGGCGAAGGCGGCUUCCUGGACUCAUACUGACACUGAGGUGCGAAAGCGUGGGGAGCAAACAGG